GUUUGAUCCUGGCUCAGAACUAACGCUAGUGGCGUGUCUUAGUCAUGCGAGUCGAACGAGAAAGUGUUCUUCGGAACGCGAGUACAGUGGCGAACGGGUGAGUAACACGUGGGUAAUCUGCCUCUAAGUUGGGAAUAACAUUUCUAACGAGGUGCUAAUACCGAAUGUGAAAUCGCGUCUUAUGUCGCGGUUUUAAAGGCAGCCUCUGCUUGCAUGCUGUCGCUUGGAGAUGAGCCCGCGUCCUAUUAGCUUGUUGGUGGGGUAAUGGCCUACCAAGGCGAUGAUGGGUAGCCGGCCUGAGAGGGUGAACGGUCACACUGGAACUGAGACAAGGUCCAGUCUCCUACGGGAGCCAGCAGUCUAGAAAUUUGCACAAUCAUCGAAAGAUGGAUGCAGCGACGCCACGUGGAGGAUGAAGCCUUUCGGGGUGUAAACUCCUGUCAGGAGGGAAGAAGGGGUAGCCGUUAAUACCGGUUGCCCUUGACGGUACCUCCAGAGGAAGCUCCGGCUAACUACGUGCCAGCAGCCGCGGUAAUACGUAGGGAGCGAGCGUUGUUCGGAUUUACUGGGCGUAAAGAGCAUGUAGGUGGGCAUGCAAGUCGGCUGUGAAAUCCUCUGGCUCAACCAGAGAACUGCAGCCGAAACUGCAUGCCUUGAGUCCAUCAGAGGGAAUCGGAAUCAAGAGUGUAGCGGUGAAAUGCGUAGAUAUUCUUGAGAACACCAGUGGCGAAGGCGGAUUCCUGGGAUGGUACUGACACUGAGAUGCGAAAGCUAGGGGAGCGAACAGGAUUAGAUACCCUGGUAGUCCUAGCCGUAAACGAUGGGCACUAGGUGUUGGAGGAGUUAACCCCUUCAGUGCCGUAGCUAACGCAUUAAGUGCCCCGCCUGGGGAGUACGGCCGCAAGGCUGAAACUCAAAGGAAUUGACGGGGACCCGCACAAGCGGUGGAGCAUGUGGUUUAAUUCGAUGCAACGCGAAGAACCUUACCUGGUCUUGACAUCCACAGAACUUAGCAGAGAUGCUUUGGUGCCUUCGGGAACUGUGAGACAGGUGCUGCAUGGCUGUCGUCAGCUCGUGUUGUGAAAUGUUGGGUUAAGUCCCGCUACGAGCGCAACCCUUAUCCUUUGUUGCCAGCGGUCCGGCCGGGAACUCAAAGGAGACUGCCAGUGAUAAACUGGAGGAAGUUGGGGAUGACGUCAAGUCAUCAUGGCCCUUACGACCAGGGCUACACACGUGCUACAAUGGCAUAUACAAAGAGAAGCGACCUCGCGAGAGCAAGCGGACCUCAUAAAGUAUGUCGUAGUCCGGAUUGGAGUCUGCAACUCGACUCCAUGAAGUCGGAAUCGCUAGUAAUCGUAGAUCAGAAUGCUACGGUGAAUACGUUCCCGGGCCUUGUACACACCGCCCGUCACACCAUGGGAGUGGGUUGCAAAAGAAGUAGGUAGCUUAACCUUCGGGAGGGCGCUUACCACUUUGUGAUUCAUGACUGGGGUGAAGUCGUAACAAGGUAACC
rnacentral:rRNA from 1 species